GGCAAUUUAAUUGUAUUAAUAAUCAAAAUAUAUAAAGUACAAUAAAGACGGGAUUGAAUUACAUAAUUUGGCCUAUCCCACUUUAACAUCUACACGCCCACUAUACUCUAUUUUCUUGGCAGAUCUUGAAAAGACAUCUUGGGCUGCUGGAGACCGGAGCGAUAUACAACAAACCAUAUAAUUUUUAUAAAACAAACAGUAAUAAAAUUACUAAGAAAGAAAAUUCAGCAGCCGGGAAAUUGAGAGCUGGACAAAAUUAUAUAACUACCAUAUUCCUAUAACUGUACGCCAUAAUUUAUUUAAAAUACAUAUAAAAGAAAUAUAUAGAGGAAUGAUCUCCUAAACACCAAUACUUAGCUUAUGUUAAGUAUCGAUGACAUGCCACAUCAUUUAAUUGGUGAAUUAUUAUAUAUAUAGAAUCUACCAUUAACUUAUUCACCAAUUAAAUAGCGUGCCAUGUUAAGCACCGAUGUUUAAAAAAUCAUUUUCAGAUGUGUGUGUGUGUGUAUAUAUAUAUAUAUAUAUAUAUAUAUAUAAUUUUACCGAUAUAUGGAUGAAUCAUGAAAGUACAGCUCAAGCGGAAGAAUGAUCUAUAAUGUUUCUCAUGAUCUGUAUUUGGGCUUGAAGACAUGUUAUGUAGUGAGCAGUUUCAUUCAGUAAUCUGCAAAAUUUCAUUUCUUCACCGCCUGGCACAAGCUUCCGAAGAUCACUUACCUGCCCAAAACCUAACUCUUCUCUAGGGUUUCCUCUUGCACCUCUUCUCAUUGAGGAAUGGGUUCGGCUUCGUUUCAUCAAAGCACGGUGAAAUGUACGGCUACGAAUCUUCCAAAGAGUCGCAUGACUCCAAGCUCUCCUCGGUCUUACCGCGGAAGCCAUCGAUGCAUAGGAGGCAACCCUAAUCAAAUGAUAUCUCCUGUAAGUCUCUCUGAUAGAUGGUGGAGCAGAUCUAUUCUUUUUCAGUUUGUUCAGGGAUUUAAGGAACCGAUAUGUAAACCUAGAUUUGACUGAACUGAGGUUCGAGGGGAGUCUCUGAUGAGUAGUCAUGGAAGGUAACGGGCCGAGAAGAUUGAGAAUCAAAGAAAAUUUGUAGGGUUUCUUCGUGUUGGGUGUUUCUUUUAUUUGUAAAAGCUAAGAUAAAGCUUCUUUCACAAUGAAUUGAGAAAGCAACUACUCCUCCUACUACCCUUCAAGAUGAAGAUUUUCUUUCAAGUAAAGGGACCAC
rnacentral:lncRNA from 1 species